rnacentral:rRNA from 1 species
UGCAGAAUCCCGUGAACCAUCGAGUCUUUGAACGCAAGUUGCGCCCGAUGCCAUUAGGUUGAGGGCACGUCUGCCUGGGUGUCACACAUCGUUGCCCCAACUCCUAACGCCUCGCGCUAGGAUGAUACUUGGGGCGAAUGUUGGCGUCCCGUGAGAUUACUCUCGCGGUUUGCUGAAAUCUGAGUCCAUGGUAUGUGUUUUCCAUGAUGGAUGGUGGUUGAGUACAAUCUCGAAGGCCAAUCAACGAAAACUCUACUCUUCUCGGGCUCCUGUGACCCAUAUGCGUUAAAGUGCGCUUACAAUGAGACCUCAGGUCAGGCGGGGCUACCCGCUGAGUUUAAGCAUAUCAAUAAGCGGAGGAAAAGAAACUAACAAGGAUUCCCUUAGUAACGGCGAGCGAACCGGGAAGAGCCCACCAUGAGAAUCGGUCGCCUUUGGCGUCUGA